AAGACUCUCGGCAACGGAUAUCUCGGCUCUUGCAUCGAUGAGGAACGUAGCGAAAUGCGAUACUUGGUGUGAAUUGCAGAAUCCCGUGAACCAUCGAGUCUUUGAACGCAAGUUGCGCCCGAAGCCAUUAGGCUGAGGGCACGCCUGCCUGGGUGUUGCACAU
rnacentral:rRNA from 1 species